rnacentral:rRNA from 1 species
AAGAUUUAUUGUCUAGAGAUUGGCUCGCGUCAGAUUAGCUAGUUGGAGUGGUAACGGCACACCAAGGCGACGAUCUGUACUUGGUCUGAGAGGAUGACCAGGCACACUGGAACUGAGACACGGUCCAGACUCCUACGGGAGGCAGCAGUGGGGAAUUUUCCGCAAUGGGCGAAAGCCUGACGGAGCAAUACCGCGUGAGGGAGGACGGCUUUUGGGUUGUAAACCUCUUUUAUCAGGGAAGAAUCGAUGACGGUACCUGAUGAAUCAGCAUCGGCUAACUCCGUGCCAGCAGCCGCGGUAAUACGGAGGAUGCAAGCGUUAUCCGGAAUUAUUGGGCGUAAAGCGUCCGUAGGUGGUUUAUCAAGUCUGCUGUCAAAGCGUGCGGCUUAACCGCAUAAGGGCAGUGGAAACUGAUGAACUAGAGUGCGAUAGGGGUAACAGGAAUUCCCAGUGUAGCGGUGAAAUGCGUAGAUAUUGGGAAGAACACCAGCGGCGAAAGCGUGUUACUGGGUCUGCACUGACACUGAGGGACGAAAGCUAGGGGAGCGAAAGGGAUUAGAUACCCCUGUAGUCCUAGCCGUAAACGAUGACAACUAGGCGUGGUUCGUAUCGACCCGAGCCGUGCCGUAGCCAACGCGUUA